CGGGACACGUGGUAUCCUGUCUGAAUAUGGGGGGACCAUCCUCCAAGGCUAAAUACUCCUGACUGACCGAUAGUGAACCAGUACCGUGAGGGAAAGGCGAAAAGAACCCCGGCGAGGGGAGUGAAAAAGAACCUGAAACCGUGUACGUACAAGCAGUGGGAGCACGCUUAGGCGUGUGACUGCGUACCUUUUGUAUAAUGGGUCAGCGACUUAUAUUCUGUAGCAAGGUUAACCGAAUAGGGGAGCCGAAGGGAAACCGAGUCUUAACUGGGCGUUAAGUUGCAGGGUAUAGACCCGAAACCCGGUGAUCUAGCCAUGGGCAGGUUGAAGGUUGGGUAACACUAACUGGAGGACCGAACCGACUAAUGUUGAAAAAUUAGCGGAUGACUUGUGGCUGGGGGUGAAAGGCCAAUCAAACCGGGAGAUAGCUGGUUCUCCCCGAAAGCUAUUUAGGUAGCGCCUCGUGAAUUCAUCUCCGGGGGUAGAGCACUGUUUCGGCAAGGGGGUCAUCCCGACUUACCAACCCGAUGCAAACUGCGAAUACCGGAGAAUGUUAUCACGGGAGACACACGGCGGGUGCUAACGUCCGUCGUGAAGAGGGAAACAACCCAGACCGCCAGCUAAGGUCCCAAAGUCAUGGUUAAGUGGGAAACGAUGUGGGAAGGCCCAGACAGCCAGGAUGUUGGCUUAGAAGCAGCCAUCAUUUAAAGAAAGCGUAAUAGCUCACUGGUCGAGUCGGCCUGCGCGGAAGAUGUAACGGGGCUAAACCAUGCACCGAAGCUGCGGCAGCGACGCUGAUGCGUUGUUGGGUAGGGGAGCGUUCUGUAAGCCUGUGAAGGUGUGCUGUGAGGCAUGCUGGAGGUAUCAGAAGUGCGAAUGCUGACAUAAGUAACGAUAAAGCGGGUGAAAAGCCCGCUCGCCGGAAGACCAAGGGUUCCUGUCCAACGUUAAUCGGGGCAGGGUGAGUCGACCCCUAAGGCGAGGCCGAAAGGCGUAGUCGAUGGGAAACAGGUUAAUAUUCCUGUACUUGGUGUUACUGCGAAGGGGGGACGGAGAAGGCUAUGUUGGCCGGGCGACGGUUGUCCCGGUUUAAGCGUGUAGGCUGGUUUUCCAGGCAAAUCCGGAAAAUCAAGGCUGAGGCGUGAUGACGAGGCACUACGGUGCUGAAGCAACAAAUGCCCUGCUUCCAGGAAAAGCCUCUAAGCAUCAGGUAACAUCAAAUCGUACCCCAAACCGACACAGGUGGUCAGGUAGAGAAUACCAAGGCGCUUGAGAGAACUCGGGUGAAGGAACUAGGCAAAAUGGUGCCGUAACUUCGGGAGAAGGCACGCUGAUAUGUAGGUGAAGCGACUUGCUCGUGGAGCUGAAAUCAGUCGAAGAUACCAGCUGGCUGCAACUGUUUAUUAAAAACACAGCACUGUGCAAACACGAAAGUGGACGUAUACGGUGUGACGCCUGCCCGGUGCCGGAAGGUUAAUUGAUGGGGUCAGCGCAAGCGAAGCUCUUGAUCGAAGCCCCGGUAAACGGCGGCCGUAACUAUAACGGUCCUAAGGUAGCGAAAUUCCUUGUCGGGUAAGUUCCGACCUGCACGAAUGGCGUAAUGAUGGCCAGGCUGUCUCCACCCGAGACUCAGUGAAAUUGAACUCGCUGUGAAGAUGCAGUGUACCCGCGGCAAGACGGAAAGACCCCGUGAACCUUUACUAUAGCUUGACACUGAACAUUGAGCCUUGAUGUGUAGGAUAGGUGGGAGGCUUUGAAGUGUGGACGCCAGUCUGCAUGGAGCCGGCCUUGAAAUACCACCCUUUAAUGUUUGAUGUUCUAACGUUGACCCGUGAUCCGGGUUGCGGACAGUGUCUGGUGGGUAGUUUGACUGGGGCGGUCUCCUCCUAAAGAGUAACGGAGGAGCACGAAGGUUGGCUAAUCCUGGUCGGACAUCAGGAGGUUAGUGCAAUGGCAUAAGCCAGCUUGACUGCGAGCGUGACGGCGCGAGCAGGUGCGAAAGCAGGUCAUAGUGAUCCGGUGGUUCUGAAUGGAAGGGCCAUCGCUCAACGGAUAAAAGGUACUCCGGGGAUAACAGGCUGAUACCGCCCAAGAGUUCAUAUCGACGGCGGUGUUUGGCACCUCGAUGUCGGCUCAUCACAUCCUGGGGCUGAAGUAGGUCCCAAGGGUAUGGCUGUUCGCCAUUUAAAGUGGUACGCGAGCUGGGUUUAGAACGUCGUGAGACAGUUCGGUCCCUAUCUGCCGUGGGCGCUGGAGAACUGAGGGGGGCUGCUCCUAGUACGAGAGGACCGGAGUGG
rnacentral:rRNA from 1 species